GGAAUCUGCUGUGGCCGAACCUACCUUUCUCUUACUAUGUUCCUUCACCUCUGAAUUUCUCGUAAUCUAUCCCACGUUUUGUCUACUCUCCCACUUGUUCAUCUUCAAGCUAAGACCUAAUUCAAGAAGAUAUUUGUCAUUUAUCUCAAAAUACUAGUACAUCUUUUAUUCUUAAGUUUUAGUGUUGGAGGUCAAAAUGUCUUCGAGAUAAUUUGUAAUACUAUGAUUUAGGAAAAAAGAAACUGGUUAUUUACAUUUUUUGGGACAACACAUUGACUUACAUAU